CUGAGCACAGCUCAGAGCCCUGCACCAACUCAUCCUCAGAAGGCCCAGUGCUCAUUCCUCUCUUCUAAUACUUUAUUUUUGAUGAUGUAAUAGACUAAUGGGAAAGAAAAAAGUUUUGUGUCAUUUGGUGCCCAGAUGUCUCCUGAUGGACGAGAGGCAGCCAGAGUUGGAGAAGCAGGGUGCCAGUGUGGCUGAUCUAUACAGGGAUAAGGAGUGGGUCGAUUUUGCAAAACCAAGUCCAAGCAGCUUCCUCUUGCCUGACAAAGAACCUAUGGCUUAUCCUGCAUAAAUAC
rnacentral:lncRNA from 1 species